rnacentral:lncRNA from 1 species
GAAGGUCCCUGAGGCAGUCCUGUAAGGACUCCUAAACUUCUCUUUGAAACUUCGAGAGCCAGGCAUUGAUUAUCUAUACUCAGCAUUUUCUUCUCUUUCAAACUCCCAAUAGUUCAUUAAGCUCUGACUAUUAAAUGGCUUUUCCAGCCCAAAGUUUCAAAGUUAUUAACUCUCCCAGACAAUAUGGUCAGGUCUGUCGCUGUGACGCUGCGCUCCAUGACAGCCAUUUCAGUCUUUCAAUUGCUGUGAUAAAACACCACGACUAAAAGGCAUCUUGUGGAGAAAAGGAUUUAUUUCAUCUUGCAAUGCCCAGCUUACACUCCACACUAAGGAAAGACAGGGUAGGACUCCUGAGGGUAACGUGGAGGCAGGAACUGAAGCAGUAGCCUUGGGGGAGCACUGCUUACCUCUUGCUCCCCAUAAUGUGCUCAGUCUGCUUUGUCUUACAAUCCAGGACCGUUUGCCCAGAGGUAGCACUGUCCACAGUGAGCGGGGUCCUCCAUCAAUCACCAAAGAAGAAAAUUUCCCCACAGAUUUGCCAACAGCCCAAGCUGGUGAGACAUUUUUCUCAAUUAAGAUUCCCUUAUCCCAGAUACAUCUAGGUUUGUGGCCAGUUGACAAAAAAACAAAACAAAACAAAAAACCCAAACCAAAAGGAAACUAA